rnacentral:piRNA from 1 species
AUUGCUGUCAGAAGUUGUUGAUUCAAGC